rnacentral:SRP_RNA from 2 species
GCCGGGCAUGGUGGCGGGUGCCUGUAAUCUCAGCUACUUGGGAGGCUGAGGCAGGAGAAUCGCUUGAACUCAGGAGGUGGAGGUUGCAGUGAGCCAAGAUCUUGCCACUGCACUUCAGCCUGGGUGACAGAGUGAAACUCUGUCUCAU